GAUGAACGCUGGCGGCGUGCCUAAUACAUGCAAGUCGAGCGAACAGACGAGGAGCUUGCUCCUCUGACGUUAGCGGCGGACGGGUGAGUAACACGUGGAUAACCUACCUAUAAGACUGGGAUAACUUCGGGAAACCGGAGCUAAUACCGGAUAAUAUAUUGAACCGCAUGGUUCAAUAGUGAAAGACGGAUUUGCUGUCACUUAUAGAUGGAUCCGCGCCGCAUUAGCUAGUUGGUAAGGUAACGGCUUACCAAGGCGACGAUGCGUAGCCGACCUGAGAGGGUGAUCGGCCACACUGGAACUGAGACACGGUCCAGACUCCUACGGGAGGCAGCAGUAGGGAAUCUUCCGCAAUGGGCGAAAGCCUGACGGAGCAACGCCGCGUGAGUGAUGAAGGUCUUCGGAUCGUAAAACUCUGUUAUUAGGGAAGAACAAAUGUGUAAGUAACUAUGCACGUCUUGACGGUACCUAAUCAGAAAGCCACGGCUAACUACGUG
rnacentral:rRNA from 1 species